rnacentral:rRNA from 1 species
UAGCAUAUCAAUAAGCGGAGGAAAAGAAACCAACAGGGAUUACCUCAGUAACGGCGAGUGAAGCGGUAACAGCUCAAAUUUGAAAUCUGGCUUCGGCCCGAGUUGUAAUUUGUAGAAGAUGCUUCGGGUGUGGUGCCGGUCUAAGUUCCUUGGAACAGGACGUCAUAGAGGGUGAGAAUCCCGUAUGUGAUCGGUCGCCUUCGCCCGUGUGAAGCUCUUUCGACGAGUCGAGUUGUUUGGGAAUGCAGCUCAAAAUGGGUGGUAUAUUUCAUCUAAAGCUAAAUAUUGGCCAGAGACCGAUAGCGCACAAGUAGAGUGAUCGAAAGAUGAAAAGCACUUUGGAAAGAGAGUUAAACAGUACGUGAAAUUGUUGAAAGGGAAGCGCUUGCAACCAGACUCGCAGGCCGUCGAUCAUCUGGUGUUCUCACCGGUGCACUCGGCGGUUUUCGGGCCAGCAUCGGUUCGGGUGGUGGGAUAAAGGCCUUGGGAAUGUAGCUCCUCCGGGAGUGUUAUAGCCCUCGGUGCAAUGCCGCCUACCUGGACCGAGGACCGCGCUUCGGCUAGGAUGCUGGCGUAAUGGUUGUAAGCGACCCGUCUUGAAACACGGACCAAGGAGUCUAACAUCUAUGCGAGUGUUUGGGUGUUAAACCCAUACGCGGAAUGAAAGUGAACGGAGGUGAGAACCCGUUAGGGUGCAUCAUCGACCGAUCCUGAUGUCUUCGGAUGGAUUUGAGUAAGAGCAUAGCUGUUGGGACCCGAAAGAUGGUGAACUAUGCCUAAAUAGGGUGAAGCCAGAGGAAACUCUGGUGGAGGCUCGCAGCGGUUCUGACGUGCAAAUCGAUCGUCAAAUUUGGGUAUAGGGGCGAAAGACUAAUCGAACCAUCUAGUAGCUGGUUCCUGCCGAAGU